GGGGAUAAAGCUCAGCAGUGGAGUGCCUGCCUGGCAAGCACGAGGUCCUGAGUUCAAUUCCCGGUCCCCA
rnacentral:tRNA from 1 species